rnacentral:RNase_P_RNA from 2 species
AAAUUCGAGUAAUCGCUGCAACUCAUAUGAAGUUGUAGAGGAAAGUCCAUGCUCACACGGCUCUGAGAUGACCGUAGUGUUCGUGCUUACUGAAAAAAUAAGGUAAGGCAAGGCUUAGCCUUGACGGCGGAAGGAAAACCUAAGUCGUUCUGAUAUGGUUGACACUUCCUGAAAGUGCCACAGUGACGGAGCUUCAUCGGAAACGGUGAAGGUGGAACGAGGUAAACCCCACGAGUGAGAAACCCAAAUUAUGGUAGGGGCACUCUCCUGAAGGAAAUGAACAGAUGGAGAGACGCGAUAAUUUUCGCGUAGAUAGAUGAUUACUACCCGGUUCGUACGAGGCGAAAGCCGUUUGAGUACUCGGGAACAAAACAUGGCUUAUUGAA